UUUUUUUAUUUGGUUGGAAGGCAUUUCUUUUACUUUUUUAUUAAUUAUAUAAUUAUAUCAUAUACCAAUGAUUAUCUCUUUCAAUAAUGGUAUAUACACAAACCAAUCUUUCCUCGUUUUGAGAUUUAUAACAUAUGUCGGUGUUUCUUCUCAUUUGAUGAAUGACGCUCUUAAAUUGUUCGUGAAAAUGACAAUAAAAUCGACAUAUCAACAAACUAUUGUGUGUUGAGAAUUGUUUCAUGUAUGUAAACAUGAAUUACAAUAGAUGAGGUAUUCAGUUGAGCUGUCUAUGAGGAUUUCAAAGAAUACUCUAAAAUGAUUAAGAUGAAAAUAUAAUAUGUAGGCUAGAAUGAAUGAAUCCCCCUUGCUUUCUAAGUGCAAUAUUUUAUAACUAUUACUUUUCCUAUCCUGCUGCCUUCUCGCGCGCUCUGCAAAAUUUCCAAAAAUACCCCUGAUCUGGACCAGAUUGUUAGUGAUAUCCGGAAAACGAAAUUCGGACCAGAUGUUAUGCGCUUUUUGUGUUUUUCAUUGAUGUGAAGGGUCUCUGUUGACCGUUAUAUGAACCACACACAAGCUGCAAUGCUAUUGCAGGGUUCAUAUGAACGGUCAACAAUGACCAUGACACCACCGACACCCCUAAAAAACUAAAAACAUUUAAAGAAAAUGGAAGAAAAGAAGUGAAGUGAAGAAUGAAGGUAUUUGUUGAAGAUGGAAGCCUAUUUAUAGCCUAAAACAAGUCCUAGGUCAUUAAUACAGUCAAUGAAAACGUGUUAGUGGUUGUAACCGUCCAAACCCACAUUAAUGGCUCUCUUUCAAAAGAAUCCAAUGCUGAAGCUUUUCGGAUUUUACAUUCCGGAAUGUCCUUAGCCAUACAGGAAGUGUCAACUUUUCCCUCGUUCACCAUUAUCGCAUUAAUCCAGGAAAUAUAUUCCGGAAAACAGAUGUGCAUUCCGGAUUUUAUAUUCCGAAAUGCAUCAGUUAUGGCUGGUGGUCUGCACCACACGUUUUUGUCGUUGGUCAGGUAAAAAAAACGCUUUUUACCACGUUUUUUGACUGCAUUUAUGGCCUCCUAAACAUUUUUCACCCACCCAUCCCUAUAAUAGUCUUCCCAACCCCACCAUUUCUCACACCAUCCUCUCCCACCCUCUCCUCCUCUUCUUCCUUCUACAACCAUGGUUUUUCAUCGUUGGCCUUUCAUAGAUAAUGACCUCUUUGAAAACUUUCAGGGUUUGUAUGAACGGUCAAUGAGGAUGGAACCGCGCUCAUCGAAGUGAGGUUCAUCUGAGGGUCAUGUGGGUCAGAGUGGUUCUUAGCUUCACCUGUCUGGACGUAAGUUUGAGCACCCCCCACCACUCUCAUGGGUAUUAUUUUCUUCUUCCCGCCCUCCUCUUCCCUCCUCCUCCAGUUUUCCUCCAAUAGGGAACCUACUGCUAUGUCCUAUCACAUAGCAGUGGUUAGGAUCU
rnacentral:lncRNA from 1 species